rnacentral:lncRNA from 1 species
GAAUUUUCCAUCCAUUUAUCCUCUCAUUAUCUAUCUUUUUUGCUUCAAAUGUCAAUUGACUCCUCUCACUCAUAGUUGUACAAAUUACAGGGCUUUUUUUUAAUUGUCAUAAAACAUAUACAUUAUUCAUCUAUUCAGUUUCAUCUGAAGAGAAUCCAACAAAGAAGAAAUUUUAUUUUCCAAUAAAAUAUUAAAGCUGCUUUACCCCACAAGAGACAGAGCAGAAAUUCCAUCCAUGAUCUAUAAAUCUAUGCGAAAACAAUACACAGUUCUGGCCAAAAGAAGUUAAAACAAAUGUGAAAAAUAAGCGACAUCCAGAAACUUCAGCAGCUCCCUUCUGUCCUAUGCCUCAAGGUACCAGAGAGGGAAAAAGACCCCCAGGAGAGGCUGUGAGGAAACCUGAACUGCAAACCCACCACGAUGUCUUCCUGGGAAAGGCAAGUUGGUAAAGAAAGAUGUGAACUCUAUUUCAGGGUAGUAUGUUUUUUUCAUUUGCUUCCAAGACUUUGAUGGAAUGACUUGAGAGGAAAAGUUCACAAUUACUAGAAAGAACCUAAAAGGACAUGAGAGAUGAAACCGUUGCAGUAUUUUUGAAAUAAAUGUUUUCCUGCAAGAGCAGAGUCAUGGGCGGGGUGUCUGUGUAAUAUCUACUCAACACAGCCGAAGGGUAAGAGGAAAUCUUGGUAAGCCGACUUCCAAGUCUUAAUGGGGAACCAUACGGAACCAACUGCACGCCAAAUCCCACGCUCACCGAAGCUUCAGGGAUUUUCUUGUGGGUCUGGGGGUUUAAUCUGACAGCUCCUAGAGCCUUCAGGACUUCCCGGGCACAGAUAAUGGGCCGCGACUGCACCCCCGCGUCCCUCCUUGGGGCGCAGGCUUUCCACAGCUACAGUUCUCCACGUCAGCAGCCACGUACACAAGCGCCGGCAGCUGCCAACAGGGCGUGCCCGCUUCCAACCCUGCACUCUCCCAAGCAGGACAUCCCUGCACCGCCCGGCGCGUUCGCGAAAACUCCGCGGGGCCUCGAGGCGUCCCGGGAUUAGCCCUGACGCUGUAGGGCUCUCUAGGUUUUCCACGACGCAGGGGAGCGUAACUGGAGCGCACCCGACAGCCUCUCAGCUUGCCCAGGCUCGACUGGAUGGGGCUUUGCUGGACCCCCGACCCGACCCCCACACACCCGGGCGGCGGGGCCCAGGUACCUGCCAACGCCUCCGCACCUCAUCGUCCCCUCUGCUUCCCCUCCUCCCUCUCCCCGAACCCUUCCCCCCUCCUCCCCGCCUCCUCCCCGGCAUUACUAUGUUUUCCAGUCCUGGCCAGUGGGAUCUGAGACAACAAUAACAGCAUUUCCAGGAAAUGUUAUCUCUCAAAAUAAAAUUAACUCACAAAAUGACGCUCCUUUCUUUUGCAAUGGAUGUGGUCCUGUCUGCCUAUGACCCCUAAAACCACUGCAGCCAACAUGUGACCAUGAUGGGAGAGAUCCCCAGCAUGUUGAAGAAAGCAAAGUGAAAAUAUAAUGAGCUCUUUGUCUUGGAGGGAGGUAUCAGGGCCAAGAAUUAACCCCAGAACUGUGCUCUCUACAUACUUCUUAUUAUGUGAGAUAGUGUCAUUAUUUAAGCCACUUUCAAUUGCAUAUUGUGUUUAUUGCCAUAAAAUGUUUUCUGGCUGGGCACAGUGGCUCAUGCCUAUAAUCCCAGCACUUUGAGAAGCUGAGGUGGUGGAUUGCUUGAGCCCAGGAGUUUGAGAUCAGCCUGGGCAACUUGGCUGAAACCUGUCUCUACAAAAAAUUAGCCUAGCCAGACGUGGUGGCCUGUGCCUAUAGUCCCAGCUACCCAGGAGACUGAGGUGGGAGAAUCACCUGAACCUGGGCUCUCUGAUCACACUGCUGCAUUCCAGCCUGGGCGACAGAGUGAGACCCUGUCUCAAAGUAAAAUAAAAAUAAAUAAAUAAAUAAAUAAAUAAAUAAAUAAAUAAAUAAAAUAAAAUAAUAAAAUAAAAAUAUUCUUGCUGCUGACAACUUCUCUGUGGUAGCCAGCCUCCAAAAUGGCCCCCAGUGAUGCUUACCUCCUGGUAUGCACUCCCUUGUGUAGUCCCCUUCUAUGUUGAAUCAGGGCUUGCCUUUGUGACUGAUAGAAUAUGGUAGAAAUGAUAAAGUGUGACUUCCAAGGCUAGUUCAUAAAGGCAUUGCAGCUUCUGCCUUGCUCUUUCUUGCUAACUUGCUCUGGGAUAAGCCAGCUGCCAUGUCAUGAAGACAUUCAGUCAGGGUUGUGCAGACACCUUCUUGGAGAGGAAGCAACCAGCCAGCACCAACUUACCAACAUGUGAAUGACCUUGGAAGAUCUUCCAGCCCCAGUCAUGCCAUCAGAUGACUAGAGCCCUCUCACAGCUGACUGCAACCUCAUUAAAGACUUAAAGCCAGAACACCCAACAGAGCUGCUCUUGAAUUCCUGAUUCAUAGACACUUCGAGAGAUAAUAAAUUAUUGUUGCUUUCAGACACUAAGUCUUGGAAUAAUUUGUUACAUAGCAAUUGAUAUCUAAUAGAGUAUCUGUCAACACCAGAAAAACAUGCCAAAGUCAGCAAAGCACUCCCAGAGUCCGUACUGUUGCUUUAGACUUGAGAGCUAUCUUACAAGAUUGAAUACAACCGUUCAUUUAUCAAGCACUUUCUAAAUAUGAUCCCA